rnacentral:rRNA from 1 species
GGACCUGACUGCUAUCGGAUUGCUACUAAGCCAUGCGAGUCAUUGUAGCAAUACAAGGCAUACGGCUCAGUAACGCGUAGUCAACCUAACCUAUGGACGGGAAUAACCUCGGGAAACUGAGAAUAAUGCCCGAUAGAACAUUAUGCCUGGAAUGGUUUAUGUUCCAAAUGAUUUAUCGCCGUAGGAUGGGACUGCGGCCUAUCAGUUUGUUGGUGAGGUAAUGGCCCACCAAGACUAUUACAGGUACGGGCUCUGAGAGGAGUAGCCCGGAGAUGGGUACUGAGACACGGACCCAGGCCCUAUGGGGCGCAGCAGGCGAGAAAACUUUGCAAUGUGCGAAAGCACGACAAGGUUAAUCCGAGUGGUUUCUGCUAAAGAAACCUUUUGUCAGUCCUAGAAACACUGAUGAAUAAGGGGUGGGCAAGUUCUGGUGU